rnacentral:tRNA from 1 species
GAGGGUAGAGCUCAGUGGCAGAGCACGUGGUUAACAUGCAAGAGGUCUUGGGUUCAAUCCCCAGCACCUCCA